UACGAAGGGGGCAAGCGUUGUUCGGAGUUACUGGGCGUACAGGGAGUGUAGGCGGUUGGGUAAGUCCUCCGUGAAAUCUCCGGGCCUAACCCGGAAAGUGCGGUGGGGACUGCUCGGCUAGAGGAUGGGAGAGGAGCGCGGAAUUCCCGGUGUAGCGGUGAAAUGCGUAGAGAUCGGGAGGAAGGCCGGUGGCGAAGGCGGCGCGCUGGAACAUUUCUGACGCUGAGGCUCGAAAGCGUGGGGAGCAAACAGG
rnacentral:rRNA from 1 species